rnacentral:rRNA from 1 species
GAUGAACGCUGGCGGCGUGCCUAAUACAUGCAAGUCGAGCGAACAGAUGAGGAUCUUGCUCCUCUGACGUUAGCGGCGGACGGGUGAGUAACACGUGGAUAACCUACCUAUAAGACUGGGAUAACUUCGGGAAACCGGAGCUAAUACCGGAUAAUAUAUUGAACCGCAUGGUUCAAUAGUGAAAGACGGUUUUGCUGUCACUUAUAGAUGGAUCCGCGCCGCAGUAGCUAGUUGGUAAGGUAACGGCUUACCAAGGCAACGAUGCGUAGCCGACCUGAGAGGGUGAUCGGCCACACUGGAACUGAGACACGGUCCAGACUCCGACGGGAGGCAGCAGUAGGGAAGCUGCCGCAAUGGGCGAAAGCCUGACGGAGCAACGGCGCGUGAGUGAUGAAGGUCUUCGGAUCGGAAAACUCUGUUAUUAGGGAAGAACAAAUGUGUAAGUAACUAUGCACGUCUUGACGGUACCUAAUCAGAAAGCCACGGCUAACUACGUG